GUAGCCGGUGGAGACAGCAGAUCGGUCGGCUGGCGUUUUAUAAUUACGAUGAGGCGAUGCCACCUUGUUUCGGUCAUCAAACUCACCUCGGUUACACUGGGAAUUAGGAAUUACGAUUACUGAAGUUGAUAACUGCGCUCUCAUUUAUUCAUCAUAUUCCCAUAAACAACGAGAGACUUGCAAGAUCUAUUGUAUACGAAUUAUCGACCCGCUGAAAAGACACUGACUGCUAACAUUUAUUUCGCGUAGGAGAAACAUACUUUCCACCGGGGAAAAAAAAAAAACAUGUUUACAAAGGUGAAAUUCUUUUGGCGUUAUAGUUGAAGUAGCCUUGCUGUAGGCUGAGCUGCCAGCCCCCCGUAAGACCACCCAAACCACUGAGCUGUUACCCAGACUAGACUGACGCACAAAUCGGGGAAGAACCACUAACUUAAAGAGGUCUGGCGCAGAUUAGCAAACCAUCCUUUAAAACAAGUUCAGCGUUUCAUUUUUUUGUCUGAUUAUUCAUGCACUUCGCGUACAUCUUAAUAUCAACUUUGAGAGAAGAAAAGUGUCCGAUAAACCGGACACCGGCACUUUAAAGGCGGCCCCGUGAGCGCAUGUGAAAUAGCCCGCAGAAAAGAGAAGAACUGACUGGGAGGAAUAUAAAGACAGUAUAAAGAUAUUUUGGUAACAGGUGGGGGCGCUCUAAUUACCCUUGGGGACAUGUGAUUCUGUACGUUCGUGUCAUGCUGUGCGACCUAUCACAUCAGCAAACUCCAAAACAAAGUCGCAUCACCUAUUUCAUCCAGUUUGGAGAUGAACUGCUCGUUGUGAACUGUCGUCAAGGUGCUGCCUGGCUAUUGUCGAGUCCAGCAACAGCCGAGUGUGUGCGGUUCUGGCUGCAGUGGAGCCUGUUUGUGUGCGUGCGUGACCCUGCCGGACUGCUGCUCAUCCAUUCAACGGCACAGCUCAUCUGAGGAGAGAUCUCAUGGAACACCUCAGUAGAAGUCUACAGCUUUCUGAGCAAAAGCCCGUGUCAUCAUUUAUCAUUUCUUUCCUCGGGUUCUUUAAACACAUGACACAGUUAAGAUUUGCCAAGACAUAAAACUAUAACACAUGAAAAAUUAUUUGCUCUGAGGUAGGCAAUAUAAAAACCUAGCUAAAUCUCUCAUGUUACCUCACAGCAAUUUAGUGCAACCAUUGACAGGCAAACUCCCUUUUUACAUUCCUGUUACUGCAUGUGUCAGAUGCCAAUAUGUGAUUUCCCUCCAAUAAAGGUCUCUGUGAGGAGCACUAAAGGCUUUGUGUGUGGUUCUG
ensembl:lncRNA